rnacentral:rRNA from 1 species
AUACGGGAGGCAGCAGUGAGGAAUAUUGCACAAUGGGCGAAAGCCUGAUGCAGCAACGCCGCGUGAGGGACGAAGGCCUUCGGGUUGUAAACCUCUUUUCUGGGGGAAGAGACUAGGACGGUACCCUAGGAAUAAGUCUCGGCUAACUACGUGCCAGCAGCCGCGGUAAAACGUAGGAGGCGAGCGUUAUCCGGAUUUACUGGGCGUAAAGCGCACGCAGGCGGCUUCGUUAGUCGGACGUGAAAGCUCCUGGCUUAACUGGGAGAGGCCGUUCGAUACUGCGAGGCUUGAGGUUGGGAGAGGGGUGCGGAAUUCCCGGUGUAGUGGUGGAAUGCGUAGAUAUCGGGAGGAACACCUGUGGCGAAAGCGGCACCCUGGCCCACACCUGACGCUGAGGUGCGAAAGCGUGGGGAGCAAACAGGAUUAGAAACCCCAGUAGUCCG